rnacentral:rRNA from 1 species
UAAUGCAGUCGAGCGAAUUGAUGGGAGCUUGCUCCCUGAUAUUAGCGGCGGACGGGUGAGUAACACGUGGGUAACCUGCCUGUAAGAUUGGGAUAACUCCGGGAAACCGGAGCUAAUACCGGAUAACAUGUUGAACCGCAUGGUUCAACAUUGAAAGAUGGCUUUUAGCUAUCACUUACAGAUGGACCCGCGGCGCAUUAGCUAGUUGGUGAGGUAACGGCUCACCAAGGCGACGAUGCGUAGCCGACCUGAGAGGGUGAUCGGCCACACUGGGACUGAGACACGGCCCAAACUCCUACGGGAGGCAGCAGUAGGGAAUCUUCCGCAAUGGACGAAAGUCUGACGGAGCAACGCCGCGUGAACGAUGAAGGCCUUCGGGUCGUAAAGUUCUGUUGUUAGGGAAGAACAAGUACCAAAGUAACUGCUGGUACCUUGACGGUACCUAACCAGAAAGCCACGGCUAACUACGUGCCAGCAGCCGCGGUAAUACGUAGGUGGCAAGCGUUGUCCGGAAUUAUUGGGCGUAAAGCGCGCGCAGGUGGUUUCUUAAGUCUGAUGUGAAAGCCCACGGCUCAACCGUGGAGGGUCAUUGGAAACUGGGGAACUUGAGUGCAGAAGAGGAAAGUGGAAUUCCAAGUGUAGCGGUGAAAUGCGUAGAGAUUUGGAGGAACACCAGUGGCGAAGGCGACUUUCUGGUCUGUAACUGACACUGAGGCGCGAAAGCGUGGGGAGCGAACAGGAUUAGAUACCCUGGUAGUCCACGCCGUAAACGAUGAGUG